ACUGGGUUGGCCGAGUGGUUAAGGCGUUGGACUUAAGUUCCAAUGGACAAGUGACCGCGUGGGUUCGAACCCUACACCCAGUA
rfam:Ciona savignyi cont_32252, whole genome shotgun sequence.